GGGGGAUAUUGCACAAUGGAGGAAACUCUGAUGCAGCAACGCCGCGUGAGGGAAGAAGGUCUUCGGAUUGUAAACCUUUGUCCUUGGUGACGAAACAAAUGACGGUAGCCAAGGAGGAAGCUCCGGCUAACUACGUGCCAGCAGCCGCGGUAAUACGUAGGGAGCAAGCGUUGUCCGGAUUUACUAGGUGUAAAGGGUGCGUAGGCGGCUCUGCAAGUCAGGCGUGAAGACUAUGGGCUUAACCCAUAGACUGCGUUUGAAACUGUGGGGCUUGAGUGAAGUAGAGGUAGGCGGAAUUCCCGGUGUAGCGGUGAAAUGCGUAGAUAUAUGGAGGAACACCAGUGGCGAAGGCGGCUCUCUGGUCUGUAACUGACGCUGAGGCUCGAAAGCGUGGGGAGCGAAC
rnacentral:rRNA from 1 species